CAGUGUGAAAUCAGUUUCUCAUUGCUAUGUUCCUGACAGAAUAACAGCAGAAAGGUCGCACAUUUCUGAUUUGCUCACAGUCAGGUCUCCAAAUUGCCUGAUGGGCUGUAGAUUGAUUUCUGUACCACAGGUACAUUUGCUCAUUUACAACCACUCUCAGCAUUUUCAAAAAAGAAUG